CUACGGGCUGCAGCAGUGAGGAAUAUUGCACAAUGGGGGGAACCCUGAUGCAGCAACGCCGCGUGGAGGAUGACGCAUUUCGGUGUGUAAACUCCUUUUAUAUGUCAAGAAAAUGACGGUAGCAUAUGAAUAAGCACCGGCUGAACUCCGUGCCAGCAGCCGCGGUAAUACGGAGGGUGCAAGCGUUACUCGGAAUCACUGGGCGUAAAGGACGCGUAGGCGGGUUGGAAAGUCAGGUGUGAAAUCCUACAGCUUAACUGUAGAACUGCACUUGAAACUUCUAAUCUAGAGUAUGGGAGGGGGAGAUGGAAUUAGUGGUGUAGGGGUAAAAUCCGUAGAUAUCACUAGGAAUACCUAAAGCGAAGGCGAUCUCCUGGAACAUUACUGACGCUAAGGCGUGAAAGCGUGGGGAGCAAACAGGAUUAGAUACCCCAGUAGUC
rnacentral:rRNA from 1 species